GCAAGUCGAACGAUGAACCACUUCGGUGGGGAUUAGUGGCGAACGGGUGAGUAACACGUGGGCAAUCUGCCCUUCACUCUGGGACAAGCCCUGGAAACGGGGUCUAAUACCGGAUACUGACCCUCGCAGGCAUCUGCGAGGUUCGAAAGCUCCGGCGGUGAAGGAUGAGCCCGCGGCCUAUCAGCUUGUUGGUGAGGUAAUGGCUCACCAAGGCGACGACGGGUAGCCGGCCUGAGAGGGCGACCGGCCACACUGGGACUGAGACACGGCCCAGACUCCUACGGGAGGCAGCAGUGGGGAAUAUUGCACAAUGGGCGAAAGCCUGAUGCAGCGACGCCGCGUGAGGGAUGACGGCCUUCGGGUUGUAAACCUCUUUCAGCAGGGAAGAAGCGAAAGUGACGGUACCUGCAGAAGAAGCGCCGGCUAACUACGUGCCAGCAGCCGCGGUAAUACGUAGGGCGCAAGCGUUGUCCGGAAUUAUUGGGCGUAAAGAGCUCGUAGGCGGCUUGUCACGUCGGUUGUGAAAGCCCGGGGCUUAACCCCGGGUCUGCAGUCGAUACGGGCAGGCUAGAGUUCGGUAGGGGAGAUCGGAAUUCCUGGUGUAGCGGUGAAAUGCGCAGAUAUCAGGAGGAACACCGGUGGCGAAGGCGGAUCUCUGGGCCGAUACUGACGCUGAGGAGCGAAAGCGUGGGGAGCGAACAGGAUUAGAUACCCUGGUAGUCCACG
rnacentral:rRNA from 2 species